rnacentral:lncRNA from 1 species
GCGAAUAGAGUAUAGCUAGAGAUGGUCUAGAGAUUACGAGAUGCAUAGAUUGUGAAAGUUGAAAGAUGAGAAUGAGCUGUGAGACGGGAGUCAGAUUUAAGGCAAGUAUCCUGCACCCUGCUUUUGGAUAUAUUGCUAAUAUUCUGAUCUAUUCUUCUUACAUGUGUUGCAAGUACCCUAAACCUUUCUCUUGGAUAUAUUGCAAAUAUUCUGAUCCAUUCAUUUGGUAUAUGUUUCAAGUAUUCAUACCUUUCUUUUCAAUGUUCGAAAGUGCGAGUAUUCUGACCCAUUCUUUCUAAUCUUCGAGUUUCUAAAGAAUUUCCGUGUUACAAAUUAAUUCGAAGUUCAGAUUGUCAUUGAAGCAUGUGUUGCUCAGUGAUAGUUAGAGCUUUGAAUGAAUUGGGAUCUUCUUGAUUAUUCAACCCG